rnacentral:rRNA from 1 species
UACGUAGGGUGCAAGCGUUGUCCGGAAUUAUUGGGCGUAAAGAGCUCGUAGGCGGCUUGUCACGUCGACUGUGAAAACCCGGGGCUCAACUCCGGGCCUGCAGUCGAUACGGGCUGGCUUGAGUGCGGGAGAGGGAUGUGGAAUUCCAGGUGUAGCGGUGAAAUGCGUAGAUAUCUGGAGGAACACCGGUGGCGAAGGCGGCAUCCUGGACCGACACUGACGCUGAGGCGCGAAAGCUAGGGGAGCAAACGGG